GUUGAAGAACGUAGCGAAAUGCGAUAAGUAGUGUGAAUUGCAGAAUUCAGUGAAUCAUCGAAUCUUUGAACGCACAUUGCGCCCUUUGGUAUUCCAAAGGGCAUGCCUGUUCGAGCGUCAUUUGUACCCUCAAGCUUUGCUUGGUGUUGGGCGUCUUGUCUCUAGCUUUGCUGGAGACUCGCCUUAAAGUAAUUGGCAGCCGGCCUACUGGUUUCGGAGCGCAGCACAAGUCGCACUCUCUAUCAGCAAAGGUCUAGCAUCCAUUAAGCCUUUUUUUCAACUUUUGACCUCGGAUCAGGUAGGGAUACCCGCUGAACUUAAGCAUAUCAAAAGCGGAGGA
rnacentral:misc_RNA from 1 species